rnacentral:rRNA from 1 species
UACGUAGGGGGCAAGCGUUGUCCGGAAUCAUUGGGCGUAAAGCGCGUGUAGGCGGUUACGUAAGUCUGCUGUGAAAGUCGGAGGCUCAACCUUCGAAAGCCGGUGGAUACUGCGUGACUAGAGUACGGAAGAGGAGAGUGGAAUUCCUGGUGUAGCGGUGAAAUGCGCAGAUAUCAGGAGGAACACCAACGGCGAAGGCAGCUCUCUGGGACGUUACUGACGCUGAGACGCGAAAGCGUGGGUAGCAAACAGG